UAUAUAUCUGUCAAUGAUGCAUACAGAGUAAUCUAUGAUAAAGAGUGAUUAAGAUCAUACUUUAUUCGUCACUACCUCUGAGACAGAAUAGG